GUUAUGAAACCAUAAAAAUUUUACUUAUAAAGUGAACAAACAAUUAUUCAAUUUACUAAAUGCAAAGAAAGAAAGAUAUGGCUCAAAUUCAAAAGUUUACUUAUGCUUUAAUAAUACUUCUUUCUAUGUUUCUUCUUGUAACCUAUAUUUCUUGCCAAAUUGGUAUGGAAAUGGAAAUUAGUAGAACUCCUUGCCAUCGGGACAAAGAUUGUGAAGUUCAAGUGCCAUGUGAUCUUCCUGAGGUUUCGAAGUGCAUUGAUCAUACUUGUGAUUGUGUGUUAAUAAAAACUCCCUAGGUCACAAACUUAAGGUUAAUAAAAAAUGAAUAGGUGAUUGAUGCAAGUUGCUAUAUUCAUUGUGAAAUUCACUCUGCUUGUCUAAAUAAAGUGUGUUAGCCUCCUUUAAGAAGGAAGUGUCUUUAUUUA